UACAGAGGUCUCAAGCGUUGUUCGGAUUCAUUGGGCGUAAAGGGUGCGUAGGCGGCGCGGUAAGUCGGGUGUGAAAUCUCGGAGCUUAACUCCGAAACUGCAUUCGAUACUGCCUGUGCUUGAGGACUGGAGAGGAGACUGGAAUUUACGGUGUAGCGGUGAAAUGCGUAGAUAUCGUAAGGAAGACCAGUGGCGAAGGCGGGUCUCUGGACAGUUCCUGACGCUGAGGCACGAAGGUCAGGGGAGCAAACGGG
rnacentral:rRNA from 1 species